GAAGUGUCAGAAAGUCAGUCAGUCAGCCUGCUCACUUUGUGUGUACUGCUCUGACCCUCCUCCGAUGCUUACACCUUUGCUCCUCUGCAAAACCACACUCUUCACCGUUUCAGACGCCACGACCAGACGAAGACAACAACCGCCGCCGCUCUACUUCAAACUCCAAAGGAAAUCAUGAGGAUCCAGUUUGCUUUGUUGCUGCUGCUUUCUGUGCUCUGCAUCGCCGCUGCUGAGGAUGAGCGUCACAGAAAGUUUAGAGAACAGCACGUCGUUGGCAGUACAGUGACCAGUUGUCAGUCAAUUAUGAAUGACCCAAAAAGAGAGAUCAAUAUCAAAUCUUGCAAAGAGUCUCAUAAAUUCAUCGUCGAUUCAGGAGAAAGUCUCAAAACAAUGUGUGGCUCAUCCACGGGCGAGGUCACACGGAACAACAAAAUUCUUCUGUGCAGACUGAAACCAGGGUCCGUAUAUCCUAAUUGUGUGUACAUCCUGGGUAGAUCUUUCACCGGCUCGAUCACAGUUACAUGUGAAGGCGGAUAUCCUGUGCACUAUGUGGGUUAAUGAAACUGAUGAAGUCAAAGCUGUGUCGUUUUCUUGAUCUUAAACAGUCGCGCACAUUGACAGCGUGACGCAGCAAUAUUAAUAAAGUUCACAGCAUCGUUGA